GUGAGAGCUGACUCUGAGGAACAAAUCACUUUCAGCAGAAACCGUGAACGAGUCAUCAAAGCUUUCGGACGCAGCUGCAGCGAUCUUCUGAGGAGAGAGGAGCAGUUCACGUUGUGACUACGUUUUGAAGCAAGCAGGAAUAUCAGGAGGAGUGUCAUCUGAACUGAGAUCUGCUGCUGUGAAGAUGGAGUUUGUUAAAGAGAAGAGUGAAGAAAAUACGAGUGAACCAGAAACCCGGGGAAUAAAACACGAGAAACCAGAAACCCAGAGAAAAAAACACGAGGAACCAGAAACCCGGGGAAUAAAACACGAGGAACCAGAAACCCGGGGAAUAAAACACGAGAAACCAGAAACCCAAAGAAUAAAACACGAGGAACCAGAAACCCGGGGAAUAAAACACGAGGAACCAGAAACCCGGGGAAUAAAACACGAGGAACCAGAAACCCGGGGAAUAAAACACGAGGAACCAGAAACCCGGGGAAUAAAACACGAGAAACCAGAAACCCAAAGAAUAAAACACGAGGAACCAGAAACCCGGGGAAUAAAACACGAGGAACCAGAAACCCGGGGAAUAAAACACGAGGAACCAGAAACCCGGGGAAUAAAACACGAGGAACCAGAAACCCGGGGAAUAAAACACGAGGAACCAGAAACCAAGAGAAUAACUCACGGGGAGCCAGAAACCCGGGGAAUAAAACUUGAGGAGCCAGAAACCAAGAUAAUAACCAGAAACACAGAGAAUAAAAUGCAAGGAGCCAGGAGAAUAAAACACGAGGAACAACGAGGUUGGUGUAUAUUUUGCAUUCAUCCUUAAAUUUUAAUAUUUGUGGUACAUACUAAGACGUUAACUACCAUGAAAUUGUCUUAAAUCCUUGUUUUAAAAUUCUUAUGGAAAUGUAACUUCACUGACAGUGAGGAGAUCUAAUUAUUACUUUAAAUAGAGUUUAUUUUUGCUUUUUGAAAAUAAGGAAACUGUAUUGAACUCAGAGCCUGGGGAGAAUGAAUAAGUUUUUACACUAGCAGUAGAAACCAGCGGGAUAAAGGUAGUUUUAGGUUCAAUGUUCGCCAGACAUUGGCUUUCAUGUGCCAUGAGUCUACAAAGAUACCACUACCACAAUUAGUACUUUAUAUCAAUGUUAAAAUAUUAUUUAAAAACCAAAAUGUGUAUUGUAGCAGCAAAUUUAAACCGGAGAAAGCUUUGACGUGCAAUAGCGGCACUUGAUGCGUAAGGGACCGCUUUCACCAGUUGGGUUUAAAACGUCCAAUUUAUUUGAACUAACAUGACUUCUAACAUUUAAAAUAAAACAUUGCCAAACUGUAAGCCCUGUAUUAACUCAAAGUGAUUUACUAGUUUUGACAAUACCUGCCUUCAUAUAUGCAGUACAGUAAACACUUAUGUAAAAAAAAAACUACUGUAAAUACCCAAACUGCUGUUCAAGGUGGUAGUACAUUCGUAGUGUCCAGUCUGACUUACUACAGGUGAAGGAUUGCCAAUAUAUCUCUUACUGUACAUACAGUACAUAUUUCAUACAAAACAAUUACUUCAUAUGUCUUACUGUACAUACUGUACCUAAUUAUUUUUAGAAGAAAAUACUGUAAUUCAUAAUUUUUUUCCUUAUUCCAAACGCUGUAGAAAGUUUAUACAUACAAGACUGACCUUCUACAGGUUCAACUUUUCCAAUAUCGUCCUUACUGUAUGUAUAGUACACAAAUAUAUUAAUGAAAAAGUACUUUAAUUCAACAAGUUUUUUUUUUCAUGCUCCAAAGGCUGUAGUAAAUUUUUAGUUACAAGACUUAUUACAGGUGAACUUUUGCCCAUAUCUCCCAUUACUGUACAUACAGUACCAAAUUAUUCUUUAAAAACAAUUACUGUAAAUAACCAAUAGGGUUUUUAUGUUCCAAAUGUUGUAGUACAUUCCUAGUGGCCAGACUGAGUCACGACAGCUGAAAUUUUUCCAAUAUCAACCUUACUGUACAUACAUUAUCGUAAUUGUUUUCUAAGAAUGAAUAUGUAAUCAACCAUAAAGGCUUUAUGUCGCAAAGGUUGUAUUAUGUUUUUAGUUACAAGACUGACCUACUACAGGUGAAAGUUUGCCAAUAUAUCCCUUAUCUUCGCUUACCUUACAGUACAUAAUUAAUCUUUGAAAACAACUACUGUAAUUGACCAAGAGUUUUUCACUGUCCAAAGGUGUAUGUUUGUAGUUACAAAACUGGUUUACUACAGUUGAAAUUAUGCCAGUAUCAACCUUACUGUACACACAGUACAUAAUUCAUUUUCAAAACCAAUACAAAUCACAAAAUUGAUAAAAAAAUUUGUUGUUGUUUUUUUUUGGUCCAUAUUGCAAAGCCCUAGUUCUCACGUAGUUCUUCUCUUUAAGACUGAUCACUCAACUUAUAACACGCACUAUGUGGUGAUGACGACGUAGAAGGACGAAGUGAGAACCACUAUGUAAAGUUCGCUCUGCCGCCUUAUUAUUUUCAUGCACUCCGCACUAUAAUGUCAUGCAUGCAAAAUACAUAGUUUUGGCUGUUACAAAGUCUCCAUCCAGAAACCGAUGUACAUCUUCUGCAGAUAUAAGUUAUUUCAUUGCACUUUAACAAGUAAUCUGAAUGGUCUAUAUUGGCGUUUUUCCACUGCAUGGUACGGCUCGGUUCGGUACGGUACGGCUCAGUUAUGGCGCAUUUCCACUGCAUGGUACGGUACGGCUCGGCUCGCUCGCUUCGGCUCGCUUUAAAUGGUACCACCUCUGUUGAGGUUCCAAGCGUACCGUACCGAUACUAAAAUGUGAUGUGAAAACACUGCAGAUCACUGAUUGGUCAGACAGAAUCGUCACUACCAGCGUCAUUGUAUUUGCGACACGAGACACUAAAACCCGCUAGAUUUAAAUAGCCAGACAACAGCCAACGGGGUAGCACCUCUUUUUACAGUAUUUACUUGAUAAAAGAAUUUUAAAAAUUUCAAAAAAGAAAUGGCUGAAUCGUGGUCAGUGGACGAGGUGCAGACGUUCCUCUCGUUGGUUGCCGAGGAGCGGAUCCAGAAGUAGCACAGCUCUUCACUUUAUUGACCAUCUAUACUGAUGCACUGUCUACGAUUGACUCAUUAGCACUUUCUCCGUGCAGUGAUGCCUCAACGUCCCAACUGGUGAUAGCAGCGUCGCCACCAGCACGACCGUCGACACCAGCAACCUUCAGCAGGACACCAGAGCGUGUGGUACCAGGCAAGAGGAAACGGAACAUGCACCAUCAGGAGCAUCUUGCCUUUUUAAGAGAGAUGCAGGUGACUGAUAUUCUACAGCAGAAACUGAACCGGGAAAGGAGGGAGCAAUAUUUGCAGAUGGCAAUAGAUGAGGCCCGGCAAGCAAGGGAGCAGGAAGCGGCCUUAAGGAGGGAGGAAAAUGCACAAACGGCUGCAUUCAAUCAAGCCUUUCUCAACAUCAUGGGGAUGCUUGUACAGGCGAUGAGUAACAGAACAGAACAGUGACAGAACUGACAAGAACAGAACACUCUGCCCGACUAAAACCUCCCUAGUCCAUACUUCACGGAGUUAUUUUUUUUACUUGUUUUUCCUCUGAAUGUUUUUAUACUACAUACAUUUGUGCACAACAUUUAAAGUUUGCUUAGUGUACAUUUUUUACUUUUAAAUGUUUAUAUAUGUCUUUAUAUACAUUUUUUGCACUACAUACAUUAAUACUUUGUUUAACGUUUGAUCUGUUUACAUUUUUCUUUAAUAAAAUUUACUAGUCAAAAG